UACCAGCACCCCGAGUGGUCGGGACGAUUAUUGGGCCUGAAGCCUCCGUAGCCGGUCCUGCAAGUCUUCCGUUAAAUCCAGCUGCUCAACAGAUGGGCUGCGGGAGAUACUACAGGGCUAGGAGGCGGGAGAGGCAAGCGGUACUUUAUGGGUAGGGGUAAAAUCCGCUGAUCCAUAGAAGACCACCAGUGGCGAAGGCGGCUUGCCAGAACGCGCUCGACGGUGAGGGAUGAAAGCUGGGGGAGCAAACCGG
rnacentral:rRNA from 1 species